rnacentral:rRNA from 1 species
UACCUGGUUGAUCCUGCCAGUAGUCAUAUGCUUGUCUCAAAGACUAAGGCAUGCAUGUCUAAGUAUAAGUAUUAUACAGCGAAACUGCGAAUGGCUCAUUAAAACAGUAAUAGUUUAUUUGACAAUCUCACUUAUAUGGAUACCCGUAGUAAUUCUAGAGCUAAUACAUGCUGGACUCCUAACUUUUUGGAAAGGAGGUAUUUAUUAGAUAAUAACCAAUAUUCCGUAGGUCUAUCGUGGUGAAUCAUAAUAACUGAUCGAAUCGCACAGCCUUUGGCUGCGAUAAGUCAUUCAAGUUUCUGCCCCAUCAGCUUUAGAUGGUAGUGUAUUGGACUACCAUGGCGUUUACGGGUAACGGAGGAUUAGGGUUCGAUUCCGGAGAGGGAGCCUGAGAAACGGCUACCACAUCUAAGGAAGGCAGCAGGCGCGUAAAUUACCCAAUCCUGACUCAGGGAGGUAGUGACAAGAAAUAACGGACCGGGGCCUUACGGCUUCGGGAUUGCAAUGAGCCGAAUUUACACCCCUUAGCGAAGAUCGAUUGGAGGGCAAGUCUGGUGCCAGCAGCCGCGGUAAUUCCAGCUCCAAUAGC